UACAGAGGGUGCAAGCGUUAAUCGGAAUUACUGGGCGUAAAGCGCGCGUAGGUGGUUUGUUAAGUUGAAUGUGAAAUCCCCGGGCUCAACCUGGGAACUGCAUGCAAAACUGGCAAGCUAGAGUAUGGUAGAGGGUGGUGGAAUUCCUGUGUAGCGGUGAAAUGCGUAGAUAUAGGAAGGAACACCAGUGGCGAAGGCGACCAGCCUGGACUG
rnacentral:rRNA from 1 species